AGCCUGCCAGGCUCCGUAUCGUGCUCCAGCAGCUGCACUCAUCCAGCCACCCUCCGUCUCCCACAUGAGUGAGAAGUCUCGGUAUUGCAGAGCCCUAGAGGUUAUGGAAUAUCUCUGCAUAGAAGUGUUAUCUCAAUAUGAACUGAGAAAUUGAUGGUACCUUUCUACAAGAAAAUCUGUGGCAGAGAUUUUGAACAGGAUCAACUUAAUCGUCUGCCUUGCUCCUUUUCAUACAUAGUCCCAGGAUACGUUCUUUUCAUGUUAGAAUUUUCAAAGGAAGAACCACCUCUUGAGGCUUUGGAUGCAUCUGACUGGCUAAAACUGCUUGACUCCUGAUUGCAGCACUUCACCCUAAAAGGUUUAUCAUCAGUUGUGUUCCCCGUGCAAAGCACAUUGAUCAGGCAAUCACAAGCAUUCAGGUUAUUUCACUUCCAUCACAAAUGUUGCAAUACCUGAAUCUGUGGAUUCCUCCACCAUUUAUUUCAAUAGUUGUUUAAAAGGCCUAGUUUUAGUUUGUAGUGGACUAGCUAUUCAUACGUGAUCAAUAAUGUUGUCCCAUUUGAUUGAAACCAUACUUUCAACCACAGUAACUUUGAUUUGUACAUUGUUGAAAUAUAUCCUUAAAUUUAUGUGAUUUGAUGUAACUAUUUCAAGUGGACAGGCUACAUCAGAAGCAUAUCCCUAUGCGGGUGAUAGUAUGAAAACAUACUGCCCCUCUAGAGGGCAUUUUGCCUGAAACACAGACUUAUGACCACUCAGGUGGUCAUUAUAAUAAUUCAGAUUAGACCUAGAAGCCUUACUUCCCGUUCUUUCAAGAUAUAAAUGCAAGUCUUAACACAUCUGGGACUGGCCAUUUCUGCCAAUCACAACUGAGGGGACAACCUGCCUCUUUUCAUCAUUUGUCUGAAAGUGCUAGUUAACCCCUUGAAAGCAGCUCUGUGGAGAAGGACCUGGGAGUCC
rnacentral:lncRNA from 1 species